AAAUACUGUACGCAAAGCGUAUAGUGGCCUGUGUGUACACAAUUGUCACUUAGAUUCCUACCACUCCUCAUGAAUCUGGCCACAACAAUGACUCUGCUCUGCUCAUCCUCCUUGACGGUAAGUCUCUUUAAAGGCAAAAAAUGUGGGUCAACAUGGAUACUGGGUGGAACGUAUGGGGAGUUGGGAAUGAAUAUUUUUCAGACCAAGGAUGUGACUUCUAUUCCUCCUGCCUCAUUCUUUUAAAUGAUGUAGUUGUUUUCAGUCUUUCUCAGUGAAUGUUCUUAUUCCCAUCUCCCCAUACAUUCCACCCAGUAUCCAUGUUGACCCACGUUUUUUGCCUUUAAAGAGAGUUACCAUCAAGGAGGAUGAGCAGACCUGAAUCAUUGUUGUGGCCAGAUUCAUGAGUGGUAGGAAUCUAAAUGAUAAUUGUGUACACACAGGCCACCGUGGGUGCUUUGUGGGUAAUAUUUCUAAUGUGGAAUUAAGAGUAUACUUUCGAUAGAAUACAACCAAAGUAUUAAGAUACAGUUGUCUCUAUUCACAUGUGGGAACUUACUCAAAGAAGUGGUAGAAAAAUCUGACUGCAGGGUCUUAGUGUAGGCUUUCAAAGUAGCCUUCACAGUCAUUUCGGUGUUGCUGAUGGGAAAAGUACUUGUGAGAAUAUAUAGCAUUUAGAAUCAGUAUUUUAUAAAACCUAGUAACUCAAAUUUCUAGACAAAGACGUGACGCUGGAGUCAUUCCAAGUAUUAUAUUGUCAUUGUCCAUUCAUGGAGACGUGCAUGGAAUCAGGAGCCUGAAAAGAGUGAUGGUCUCUUUAAGAUCCUUCAGUGGGGCAACCAAACCUUGCUUUCAUUCUGGAAACAGUUGUGAAGUACAGCUUCUGAUUCCCCAAAUUUCAUGUCAUGGGGCUUCUUAUUCAUGUCAGUCAUGAACUCUGGGAAGUGACAACAAUCCCAGUGGUGAUUAAAAGGCCCAUGGAAGUGAUACAGAUUUGGGAAAGCUGAGAAUUUAUUUUGAAGUUGAGAUAAAGAAAUGACUCUCUGUAUAUCAGAUGUUUCAUACGUUGUUUUUAAAAACAGAAUAUAGUUAAUGUGUUUGUAGGAACAGAUAGUGUGAAAGGAUCCAAACUUGAUAACAUGUGUUAGAUGUUUUUGUAAAAGUUGCUUUGGUUUUCAGUCGUUUACUCUAUUUCACUGCCUUUUCAUGCUUGUAAAUUAACUAUUCAACUGCUAGACAGUCUUUAUAACUUUAUGUUUUACAUAAUUAUCAUCUGUUCUGCUUCAUAGUAAGAUUGUACUCCACCCAAAUAAGCAAUCAAAGAAAUUAAAGCCAAUAGCAGUCAAAUUCACAUAAGUGAACGCUAGAGGCUCAAGGAUUUGUAAGUACUGAUUGGCAACAUCUAAGUUGCUGCUGGCACAGAACUUCUAUUUAUUUGUAUUAUUUGAAGGAGAUAAGUCUUUGUUAAUGAAAUUCUCAGAAAGGAGGUGAUUAAAUAGAACUAAAUACAUCUUCAACAUACAUACCACUUCAGGAAAUACUGAAACUGGCCUAUCGUAAAACUUUUGGUCCCAGGGAACAAGGUCUUGUAGGUCGAUUUUAUUCAAGAUUUGUUUGUUUGAAAGGCAGAGUUCAUAGGGAAAUAUUCCAUCUGCUGUUUCACUCCCCAAAUGACCACAAUGGAAAAGGUUGGGCCAUGAACUGUCCAGUUAAAAGACACCGAUUGGCUGAUUGGGUAAAGGAAAAAAUCCCCAUCUAUUUGCUGCUUACAAGAAAAACAUCUUUCCAAUAAAGAUGCAUACAAACUGAAAGUGAAAGGCUGG
rnacentral:lncRNA from 1 species